AUUUGUUUCUUUAUAGGAGGUAUAGACGGUAGCCACGUCACUUUCUUUUUGCCUAAUCCCAUGCACGAGAACUGAAGCCCCUCUCUGUAUCUUGAUAUGACAUCGCAUAGAAACAAGA
rnacentral:pre_miRNA from 1 species